rnacentral:rRNA from 1 species
AGUGAACGCUGGCGGCAGGCCUAACACAUGCAAGUCGAACGGCAGCACAGUAAGAGCUUGCUCUUACGGGUGGCGAGUGGCGGACGGGUGAGGAAUACAUCGGAAUCUACUUUUUCGUGGGGGAUAACGUAGGGAAACUUACGCUAAUACCGCAUACGACCUACGGGUGAAAGCAGGGGAUCUUCGCACCUUGCGCGAUUGAAUGAGCCGAUGUCGGAUUAGCUAGUUGGCGGGGUAAAGGCCCACCAAGGCGACGAUCCGUAGCUGGUCUGAGAGGAUGAUCAGCCACACUGGAACUGAGACACGGUCCAGACUCCUACGGGAGGCAGCAGUGGGGAAUAUUGGACAAUGGGCGCAAGCCUGAUCCAGCCAUACCGCGUGGGUGAAGAAGGCCUUCGGGUUGUAAAGCCCUUUUGUUGGGAAAGAAAAGCAGCAGGUUAAUACCCCGCUGUUCUGACGGUACCCAAAGAAUAAGCACCGGCUAACUUCGUG